rnacentral:lncRNA from 1 species
AUGUCUGGAUCCAUGGACCCGUCUCAGGACACAGCUACUUCAGCUGCUCUGUGCUGUGGAUGUGCCCUGAAAUUCUUCUCAGAGCUGGUGGUCUUUCAGGAUGCUUCUUCAUGCAGCACUUACUUGUGUGGGAAGUGGGAAGAAAGCGUGCAUCAAGUCAUAUCACAGCCAAAGGCUAAUAGAAGAGGACUUUGCACACGUAAACUUAUUGUCAGCAAUUCGUACAUCUGCACAAGAGCUGCAAGACUUUCCAUAUCAUCAAGGAGUUUCCAGCAUCUUGAACUGGGGCAAGAGAAGAAUUCUCUUGGGAUGAAUGAGAAGAGCAGCAGGAAUGCUGGGAUCACCAAGAGCACUGGGAUCACUGACAGCACUGGGUGCCCACUCAGGCACAGCCAUGCAUGCACUGUGCUGUGCUCAUGCCAUGUCCUCCUGCCCCAGGCAGCCCCAACAGUACGAAGCAAGCAGAUGAAAGCAGGCCUGCCUGAGAUCGCUGCAGAUGCCUUUGUGUCAGGGCAGCAAUUUAAAACAGCCCCAAGUGGUAUCACAGCUUGCCAGGUCUCAGCAACCACUGAAUAUGGAAGAGCGAAUGUUCCUUCAUCCUUGGGCAGAGGAGGGAAUCUGCCCCUGAAGAAAGUUUGCCUUGAACUUGAUUUCCCUGUUCUGUAUUUCUUCUGGGGUUUUGGUUGUUGGUUUGUUUGUUUUCUUUUCCCCUUCACACACUAAAUGUUUAAUGAGUGUUCUGAGUAUUCGGGCAUCACAAAAGUUCUUGUGUUCGAUGCAUUUAAAACCCAAAUCAAAUGAAAAAGCGUAUUGCCUGGAGGUGCAUGCACUUUAUUCCAUCAUAAAUGGCCAGUGUGACAGGCAGAACACAUGGCUGGGAGUGGGGCAGUUGAGAAAAAAGCAGAGGCGAUCUCAUUCAUUCGUGGGAGUCACAGAUGGAAGAAAUAAUUUACUUGUGUUCUGAUUAACAGCAACAAAAGCAGCACAUGCUGCUUUCUUCAUGCCUCUGUCUGUGCUGCAGCUUUGGUUUGGCUUGCAGAAGCUGUUGGUGUCCCAGGAGAGAACAGCUUCUACAAAGAGCACCGAUGCAAUUGGGUGCCUGGGCACUGCUAUGGAUAAGAUCCUUUGCUCCAAGCGGCUUUUUGUCUCUUGCUUCUCUUGUCACAGGCUCAAAUUCAUUGCCAAGCAGGCAGCUGGGCUAAAUGGCCUCCAUCACUUUGUUCUCAGCCUUGCCCCCAGGCUGGAGAUCUCUGUUGUGUGAGAUUCUUCUGUCUGGUUCCGCAUCUCUCGUUUGAUGCAUGUCUCCACAUAUCACUUCUGCUUCCCUCCAUGGCAAUUUCUUUCAUGCUUCUUUGCAAAAGAAGAUUGUGUAUUUAUAUCCUAAUAGCCUUGCUUGGCUUUCAGGACUAUUAAGUAGUAACUUCCCCUUUCAUUUUUGAUCUCUUGCUCCUGUCAGAGAAGAAACAAGUGAAUUGGGAGGAAGUCCUUGGCUUUCGUGGAGCUGGUAAUCAGCAAUGAUUCCUCCAGGCUGUCCCUGGUAGCUGUGCAUCUCUUAGGAGGAGGGCUGGGAGUGCAGUGUGUUGUGUCCUGUGGCAGACACUUUGCCCAGUUUACACAUUUUGCACUACUUGCUUCCGUGUCUGCAUGCCCAAGAUCAGCAGUGCUGAUUCUCUCAUUCCACUGAGUUUUGAUCAGCUUUUUCUGUCCCCAUGCCUUGUGAUUAAUCAGUGCCCCUUUAUCUAUAUUUUCCUAUAUCUGCACAGUUUGGAAGUAAUUCUUUGAGCAGUGAAGCAGGCAUUCAGGGAUGAGCAUCCAGCAUCCCUCUGCUGACAGCAGUGAGGCUACAGCACACAGCUGUUAAACAGAGACCACAGACAUACAGAAAAGGAAUUAAGGAGAAGUAUUCUAACAAAGAUGUUUAAGAAAUUCCAGAUAUCCUAACUAAGCCUUCCAGAAAAAAAUACCCCGAGCAUCAAAAGUAACUGUCCUUCCUGACACAGAUUCCUCUGUUGUUUGUUGGAUUUUCAGCACCAAUCUCUUUAAUGCUGAUUAAAAUGAAUGUAAUACAAAGGCCUGUGAAUGAAAUACAAAGUAUAACAGACACAAAAUAAAUAAAAGUAAUAAAGCA